GACAGAGGGUGCGAACGUUGUUCGGAAUUACUGGGCGUAAAGCGCACGUAGGCGGCAGCGCAAGUCGGGCGUGAAAUCCCACGGCUCAACCGUGGAAGUGCACUCGAAACUGCGCAGCUAGAGUCCUGGAGAGGAAGGUGGAAUGCUUGGUGUAGAGGUGAAAUUCGUAGAUAUCAAGCGGAACACCGGUGGCGAAGGCGGCCUUCUGGACAGUGACUGACGCUGAGAUGCGAAAGCGUGGGGAGCAAACAGG
rnacentral:rRNA from 1 species